GAUGAACGCUGGCGGCGUGCCUAAUACAUGCAAGUCGAGCGAACGGACGAGAAGCUUGCUUCUCUGAUGUUAGCGGCGGACGGGUGAGUAACACGUGGAUAACCUACCUAUAAGACUGGGAUAACUUCGGGAAACCGGAGCUAAUACCGGAUGAUAUUUUGAACCGCAUGGUUCAAAAGUGAAAGACGGUCUUGCUGUCACUUAUAGAUGGAUCCGCGCUGCAUUAGCUAGUUGGUAAGGUAACGGCUUACCAAGGCAACGAUGCAUAGCCGACCUGAGAGGGUGAUCGGCCAUGCUGGAACUGAGACUCGGUCCAGACUCCUACGGGAGGCAGCAGUAGGGAAUCUGCCGCAAUGGGCGAAAGCCUGACGGAGCAACGCCGCGUGAGUGAUGAAGGUCUUCGGAUCGUAAAACUCUGUUAUUAGGGAAGAACAUAUGUGUAAGUAACUGUGCACAUCUUGACGGUACCUAAUCAGAAAGCCACGGCUAACUACGUG
rnacentral:rRNA from 1 species